GGAGCUGUGCCUGAAAAAGGAUCACUUUGAUAGAGUGAGUAAUGAAGGUUAAAGCCCUUCCAUCUCCU
rnacentral:tRNA from 1 species